rnacentral:rRNA from 1 species
CAUGGCUCAGAUUGAACGCUGGCGGCAUGCCUUACACAUGCAAGUCGAACGGCAGCACGGAGCUUGCUCUGGUGGCGAGUGGCGAACGGGUGAGUAAUAUAUCGGAACGUACCCUAGAGUGGGGGAUAACGUAGCGAAAGUUACGCUAAUACCGCAUACGAUCUAUGGAUGAAAGUGGGGGAUUCGCAAGAACCUCAUGCUCGUGGAGCGGCCGAUAUCUGAUUAGCUAGUUGGUAGGGUAAAAGCCUACCAAGGCAUCGAUCAGUAGCUGGUCUGAGAGGACGACCAGCCACACUGGAACUGAGACACGGUCCAGACUCCUACGGGAGGCAGCAGUGGGGAAUUUUGGACAAUGGGCGCAAGCCUGAUCCAGCAAUGCCGCGUGAGUGAAGAAGGCCUUCGGGUUGUAAAGCUCUUUUGUCAGGGAAGAAACGGUGGUUUCUAAUACAAGCCACUAAUGACGGUACCUGAAGAAUAAGCACCGGCUAACUACGUGCCAGCAGCCGCGGUAAUACGUAGGGUGCAAGCGUUAAUCGGAAUUACUGGGCGUAAAGCGUGCGCAGGCGGUUAUGUAAGACAGAUGUGAAAUGCCCGGGCUUAACCUGGGAACUGCAUUUGUGACUGCAUGGCUAGAGUCUGGCAGAGGGGGGUAAAAUUCCACGUGUAGCAGUGAAAUGCGUAGAUAUGUGGAGGAACACCGAUGGCGAAGGCAGCCCCCUGGGUCAAGACUGACGCUCAUGCACGAAAGCGUGGGGAGCAAACAGGAUUAGAUACCCUGGUAGUCCACGCCCUAAACGAUGUCUACUAGUUGUUGGGUCUUAAUUGACCUAGUAACGCAGCUAACGCGUGAAGUAGACCGCCUGGGGAGUACGGUCGCAAGAUUAAAACUCAAAGGAAUUGACGGGGACCCGCACAAGCGGUGGAUGAUGUGGAUUAA